rnacentral:lncRNA from 1 species
UUUUAUUUUGUUUAAUGAUUGAGCAAUGUUAUUCUUUUUCACCUUUCAAACUACAAAACUAUAUAAUCUACAACGCUAUGGUAUUUCUAUACCAUUUGCGCUAAAUGGAAUAGCUUAUGUUUUCUAUUCACAUAUUCUUUAUACGUAUUAUAACUUUAUAUUGUAUUUUAUAUUUGGGGUUUAGGGUUAAUGAUUAGAGUUUAUGAUUUAAUAUAGGUUUUGGGUUUAGUGAUUGGGGUUUAGGGUUUAAUAUUUAGGGAGGGGGUGGGUUUAGUGUUUUGGGGAUGUUAGGGAAGUGUUGGUGUGGAGUCUAUAAAUGAAAUAGUAUUUUAUAUUUGGGUAUUUUUUAAUCUACAACGCUCUCGUAUUUCUAUGUCAUUUGCGUUAAAUGGAAUAGCUUUUUUUUCUAUUUACAUAUUCUUUAUAUGUAUUAUAACUUUAUAUUAUAUUUUAUAUUUGGAUUUACGGUUAAUGAUUAGAGUUUAGGGUUUAGAAUAGGGUUUGGGUUUAGUGAUUCGGGUUUAGGGUUUAAUAUAUAAAGGUUGGGGAGGGGGAGUUGGGUUUAGUGUUUUGGGGAUGUUAGGGGAGUGUUGGUGGGAUCUGUAAAUGGAAUAGUAGCUAGAACCAUACUUGAUUUUAUUUUGGAAAACUAUUAUAUUUUAUACUGUAGUAUUUAUAAAAAAAUUAUAACAUUAUUUUGUACCCGUAACAUAACGUCAUCAAUGGUGUGUUAAUCGUUGUUUCUCUUCUUCAGUAAACUGUGAUUAUAUCUCAA